ensembl:lncRNA
GUGAAAGUACAAGGGCUUUAUAUAGUAGGUAGGCCUGAGGUUAGGGUUGAAUGGUGGUGAAAGUACAAGGGCUUUAUAUAGUAGGUAGGCCUGAGGUUAGGGUUGAAUGGUGGUGAAAGUACUAGGGCUUUAUAUAGUAGGUAGGCCUGAGGUUAGGGUUGAAUGGUGGUGAAAGUACUAGGGCUUUAUAUAGUAGGUAGGCCUGAGGUUUGGUUGAAUGGUGGUGAAAGUACUAGGGCUUUAUAUAGUAGGUAGGCCUGGUGUUAUGUUUGAAUGGGGGUGAAAGUACUAGGGCUUUAUAUAGAAGGUACAGUUGAAGUCGGAUGUUUACAUACACCUUAGCCAAAU